rnacentral:lncRNA from 1 species
UCUCUGAUGAUGGAAUGUUAAAAAGAAUAAAAAGAUACAUGUGAUAUGAGAACCAUAACCACUUAUAUAGACAACUUUUUCUAUUGUCUUUAGGUAUUCUUAUUUCAAAUCAUCAUAGAAAUAAAAAUUACCCUUAAAUCUCUACACAUUAAAAGUCCUCACCCUAUCAAAUACAUUGAAGCUCAUAUUGUCAUAAACCUUACUAAAUCACUUUUAAUUGGACUUAACCUUAUAUGAUAGUCUGCAGCACAUAAUUAUUCCUAUAUAAUGUUAAAAAUAGGGUUUGACCAUGCGGUGAACAGUAACACAGUUUGAUCAUGCGGUGAAUAGUAACACGGUUUGACCAUGCGGUGAGUAGUAACACAGUUUGACCAAGCGGCUUGAACAGUAACAUUGUUUGAAUAGUGUUAUCCAUUUGGUUAUAAAUAAGAGAGCCUUUCAUAAGUUUUAUCAUCCAAAGAAUUCAUUUCCUCUUGUAAUUAGAGAGAAUUAGAGAGUUGAAUAUAAUUACUCUUAAAUUGAGAGUUUUGGGUGUAUUUGGGACUUGGGUGAGAGAAAAUUAUUUCUAAGAGUGUGGUUGUAAUAAUUUUUCACAUAGUGAAUAUUUUUCUCUGGUUGUUUUUUUGACAACGACCGUAGUUUUUCUCUGGAUUUGGAGUUUUCCACGUAAAUCUUGUGAUGUGUGAUUUGUGUAUUCUUCAUUUAAUUUUUCUAUUAAUUUGUUGCUUGACAAAUUGCUUGGAGUAAUCUUGGGAGGAAGUUCAAUUUCCUAACUAUAAGCCCAAUAUUGAAGUGACUCUCAUUUAAUAAUUAAUAAAGAUACAACUAAAUAGAUUUAAUUGUUGUGGUGGAGGAAGAGUGGUGUCUAAGCCUCUAAGGUUCCGCACAUUGAGAAGAGAUCUUGCGACGAAACACAUUUCAUUUUACUUUGUUAAUUAACCUCUUUUUGUUGUAUAAUCAAUGCUCUAAAAAUCAUAACCAAUUUAAACCAAGUUCAAAAUGCCAAACCGAUAAACAAUAUCUGUCGAAUCUAAUGGAGCCAAAUAGAAUAUAUGAAUGUAUAUGCAUGUGAUCAUUCUCUAGAAGCAACCUAAAUAAUAGACAUUUCAAUUUUCCAAACAAGCGUGACUAUUUUCACUAACAAUUAAUGGAGAUAGGUGAGGAGUCCGGAUUGGAAAUAUGGGGGCCAAGAGUUAAAGGAGUAAACAUUUUUGGGGUCAAAAUCCAAAAAAAAAAAAGUAUAUUGGCAUUAGACUGAAAUGUGAAAUUUGUUAAAGCUUACAAGCGUCAAAUUAUUGAAACAAUUCUAUAUUGAUAUUUAAAGUCAUAAUCAAAACCGUAUAUGAAUUAAAUUUUGUUUUCUUACGUAUCUCUCGGACCGUGCAUGAGGUUAUGCAGUCCUGAUUUAAAAGGAAAAAUUGUUUCACAUCCAACAUAAUUCAAUUAAUUACUUGUAAAGUUUAUAUAUUGAAACACUACAGCCCAGCCCAAUUAGUUGACCUUUUGUAGUAGGGGUGGGCAAAAUCGGGNN